GACUCACCCCCUUUUGUUCAUGACAUCGCGUGAGUUUCUCCAAGUGUGAAGGAGUGUGUUCACCACCCUCCUCUGGAAAUAUAAGUCUACUCUAAAAAGGUAAAGAUUCAAGUCGACAGAAAGGCGACUCUGAAAGCAAAGGUCCGGAUAAAUCCAUCUGAAAGCAAUUACAGUCCACCGGCCAAUUGUCAAAAAAACCCAAAGAGGCAUCGAUCAUCAUGGGGAAAGGGGAGAGCGACGACUGGGAUGAGAAGCACGGGGACACGAGGCAGACUCAGCCUCGCAAACAGAAGGAGACUGAGGGUUCAAGCUCCGGGAGCAAAUGUCCCAAGUGCUGCCUGCAGACACGGAACUGUCUGAUGAGCCCGGAGUGCGGCAGGGCCCUUCAGAUCUCCAGCGUCGUGGCCUGGUGUGGAAUGUGCAUCCGCCUGUUUGUGUAAGCUGACCUUGAACAUCCAGACCAGUUUCUUAAGGAUGCUUUACUGUCAUUCAGAGGUGAAAAUAUUGCUUUUCAGUCUGUUUCAUAUACUCGCCUUAUAUCUAAAUCAAGUCAUUAUUUAUUUAACAUAGAACAAUUCAGUAUUUGUACAUAAAACAAACUAAAUAGACAAUUUUCAUGAAUUAAUUCAUUAAUUGAUGCUUGUGACUGUGUAUUUGAUCCAUAUUGGUUGUUCAUUAUAUAUGUCUGUCCAAAGUGUAAUAAUUGUGUCCUAUUAGACGUUCGAGAGAGCUGUUAUAAUUGGGCUUCAUAAUGCCAUGAAGCCCAAUGGUAUUUAUUGAGCUCACAAUGACUUUGAAUCAUUUCAGUCUUGAGUUGGGGGGGGGACACUUUAGCCAAAUUUGCUCUAAGGGAUUGCUGAGACAUCACGAGAACGAACUGGAGGUGCGGACGGACGACCCCAAAACCCAAUUGGUCCAGCCUAGUCUGUCGGCGACACGACACACACGAUUAUAAACAAGCGAACCUGACGACGUGAAGAGGAAUGUUACAGUGAAACCCAAGCAUCUUCUCUAGAAUAAUGAGUAAGAUGAAAAAUGUAUGAAGGAAUGAAAAACUUGAAAUAACGUUUGCAGGAACAAGGACAAGUGUACUUCAUCCAACACAAAUAAUGAGAGACCUCUGGUUAAUUAAAAGCCUUGGACCACCCUGAUGAUCUUCGUGGCAUGGUCAUUUUGAGAGAGGGGCUCAUUGUGAACAUAACAAGCGAGCUAGCAAAGAAUAGAUUUCAUUUUUUGUGAUGAUUUCACAAGGCAACAAUAA